ensembl:lncRNA
UUAUGAUACAGUAUGUUAGGCUAGAGCAGUGGGUCUUUAAGUCUGUUCUCUGGACAAGUAGUAUCAAUUUCACCUGGGAAUUUAUAGAAAUGCUAAUUCUGGGGUUCCCCAGACCUUCUGAAACAGAGACUCUGGGAGCAGAGUUGUGUGAUUUGUGCUUCAACAAGCCUUCCAGGCAGUUCUGAUGUGCCCAUUAGGCUAGAGGGAGGCUCACAGAAUUUGCAGAGAGCAGAUCUGGAGACCUGAACCCAGAUGGGGCGAGCCGAGGGCAAGGUGGAGAGUAUGCCGCUGCCUAAAUUUUGCAAAGGAUCAGCAGAAAACUUGCUGCAUUGCCACCUGGAUAUGAUUAAGCACCACCCGUAGUAGCUUACUACUCAUCACCUUACCAGGCUGCAGGAUUCCACGGCACCCAGCAUGGAGUACGUGCAUAGUUCAAGACCCACAUCUGGAACGCUUAUUUACCAUAGGAAAGAUAAAACAUCUGAGUUUUUCAGAACUUCUUUUUCACUCUCUUUGGCAUAUUUAUGAAGAAUACUAGUAUAUUGAAGAAGAGAAGCAGGGAAGAAUAAAGAAGAAGAGGAAGGAGAGAAGAGGAAGAGGAAGAAGAAAAAGGAGAAGGAACGUUAAAACAAGAUUAUAAGACUUCUUUAAAUAAAUGAAAUGCCUAUAUUUAAUAAAUUACACUUUUAGGAUUGCAUAAAUAUAUUGCAAUAGAUUCAUGUUAUUAAAAAUAUAAGCACUUCCUCAUGCAUCCACCCUCGGUGUCCCAGAUGGGAUAAAUAAGUCAAAGUUGAAUAUUAAACAUGUUCCAUUU